UCAGUGCUCAGAAGGCGUACAUCGAAUCCCUUGAUGGUUGGUUGUCCAAGUUCAUGCUCACAGACACCAUCCGUUAAUCCCGGGGAUCUCCUUGAUCGCGCUCGACAGGACCAGCGAGUAGCACACUACGCUGUCGACAACCGGAUCCUCCUCACAACUGACUCCGGCAUGGGCUUGCUCGCGCUCGACAGGACCAGCGAGUAGCACACUACGCUGUUGACAACCGGAUCCUCCUCACAACUGACUCCGGCAUGGUACCCAUUCCAACCCAAGAAGACGACUCAAGGGAGGACUGAUCUAUAUGUAGGCAGAUGGAUGAAUUCCAAGCCAUGAGAUAAAGUACCCUAAACCGAACUUACUAUUUAUUUGCAGUUUGCGAGUACACUUGUACUUCCCUGAUUUCUCCCCCAAAUAGCAUGCUUCCAAAUCCAUGUGUAGUUCCCUGCCUGCUAUGUUUCCAAUCAGAU